CGGCCCAUAGCCCAAGGGGAGAGGCACGCGCCUUAAAAGCGCUGGUCAGUGCGGGUUCAAGUCCCGCUGGGCCGACCA
rnacentral:tRNA from 1 species